rnacentral:rRNA from 1 species
AGAGUUUGAUCCUGGCUCAGAUUGAACGCUGGCGGCAUGGCUAAAACAUGCAAGUCGAACGCGAAAGUACCUUCGGGUGCGAGUAGAGUGGCGAAAGGGCGAGGAAUUCGUUUCUAACGUGCCCCAAGGCCAGGGAUAGCCCAGGGAAACCUGGAUUAAUACCUGAUGAUCCCGGUAGGUCGCAUGACCCUCCGGGCAAAGAUUUAUCACCUUGGGAUCGGGAAACGUCCUAUCAGCUUGUUGGUGGGGUAACGGCCUACCAAGGCGAAGACGGGUAGCGGGUGUGAGAGCAUGACCCGCCGCAUCGGAACUGAGACACUGUCCGGACACCUACGGGUGGCUGC